rnacentral:rRNA from 1 species
UAGGGAAUCUUCCACAAUGGACGCAAGUCUGAUGGAGCAACGCCGCGUGAGUGAAGAAGGCUUUCGGGUCGUAAAACUCUGUUAUUGAAGAAGAACGUGUGUGACAGUAACUGGUCAUGCAGUGACGGUAUUCAAUCAGAAAGUCACGGCUAACUACGUGCCAGCAGCCGCGGUAAUACGUAGGUGGCAAGCGUUGUCCGGAUUUAUUGGGCGUAAAGCGAGUGCAGGCGGUCUUUUAAGUCUGAUGUGAAAGCCUUCGGCUUAACCGAAGAAGGGCAUCGGAAACUGGGAGACUUGAGUGCAGAAGAGGAGAGUGGAACUCCAUGUGUAGCGGUGAAAUGCGUAGAUAUAUGGAAGAACACCAGUGGCGAAGGCGGCUCUCUGGUCUGUAACUGACGCUGAGGCUCGAAAGCGUGGGUAGCAAACAGGAUUAGAUACCCUGGUAGUCCACGCCGUAACGAUGAAUACUAAGUGUUGGAGG